GACGAACGCUGGCGGCGUGCUUAACACAUGCAAGUCGAGCGGUAAGGCCCUUUCGGGGGUACACGAGCGGCGAACGGGUGAGUAACACGUGGGUGACCUGCCUUUAGCUCUGGGAUAAGCCUGGGAAACUGGGUCUAAUACCGGAUAUGACCCUAUGGCGCAUGUUGUGGGGUGGAAAGCCUUGUGCGGCUAGGGAUGGGCCCGCGGCCUAUCAGCUUGUUGGUGGGGUGAUGGCCUACCAAGGCGACGACGGGUAGCCGGCCUGAGAGGGCGACCGGCCACACUGGGACUGAGACACGGCCCAGACUCCUACGGGAGGCAGCAGUGGGGAAUCUUGCGCAAUGGGCGAAAGCCUGACGCAGCGACGCCGCGUGAGGGAUGACG
rnacentral:rRNA from 1 species